CAAUUCGACAGGACUUUCCCAACUUGGAGAAACUUUUAUUAGUCAAUAACAAUAUUCAGAUGAUACAAGAUGGAAAUUUUUCGGAUGACAUGUUCAGCAAGCUAAAAGCACUAACACUAGCAUGCUUUCAUGAUAAAAAGGCUGCCUUUCCUUCCAUAUUCCUCCUAGAGAGAUUUCAGAAUUUACAAAGCCUUGAAGUCUUAUGUAGCUCCUUUGAAGAUUUAUUCCCGAACAAGGGCUUGUUGAAGAAAGGAAACAUCCGGUGCUUGAAAAUUUAAGAGAACUUAAGUUGAACAAGCUACACAACUUAAAGUGUGUGUGGAGAGAAGACUCUUUAGUGUCGAAAAUUCUUCAGAGCAUCGAAACAUUUCAGGUUUGGGAUUGUCCCUGUUUGACAACAAUAUUUCCAACCGAGACAUCCUUCCAGAAUCUGACAAAUUUAGAGGUGAAGAAUUCCUCUAGAUUGGUACAUCUAAUAACGACUUCAGCAGUCACAAAUUUGGUACAUCUCAAUGGAUAUGACUAUAAUAGGAUGUGAAAGAAUGAAAGAAGUAGUGGCCGACGAUGGAAACAAAGAAGGAAAAGUGAUUUCUUUUGAAAAGCUAGAAUGGUUGACACUUGAACAUCUGCCAAACUUAGAAUGCUUCUCUUCCAUCCCAAGUUGCAUCUUUAGGUUCCCAUCCUUAUGGAUUAUUGAAGUGGAAGAGUGUCCAAAAAUGAAGACCUUUUCUAAGGGUACACUAAGCACACCAGAACUAGUUGGUGUGUCAUUGUUCAGAUACAAGUCGGAAGGGAAUUGGGAGAAGGGUGAUGAUCUCAAUACAACCAUACAGAAGUUAGCAGCAUAAAUCAAUGCACAUAGAAUUGUAGGAAGCAAAGCGGGUCUCUCCUUCUCCUUCUCCUUCUUGACGCCAAAGGCUCUUUCUCCAUCUUUCUUCUUCUUCUUCCUCCUCGUGGAGCGAAAUUGGGGAAGCCUCUGCUGCCUUCACAAAGGACGGAGCAAAAAUGAAGCAUCAGGAAUUGCCAGGACUGCGAGAAGCGAAGCUGCAAUUAGCGGAGCGGAGCCAAGUAGAUUCAACCAGACGCUGUCGUUGUCGCCGUCGUCACCGCCGGAGGAGGCACAACCGAGUCUGGACAGUUAGUCGUCCACUCACUUCAUCAAAGAAGAAGAAGAUCACACUCUCUCUCCGCAUCUGUAUCCGACAAAUCGCAGGUCCAAACAUUCAAGCAGAUUGAGGCAUCCUGAGCUGGUUUAUUAUGGUCCCAUUCACCCAAGGCCUCUCACUGCUCUUACAUCGGCCAACAAAUUUCAAACGGUGCAUCCCUUUUUCAAAGGUUGUGAUGAGGCCCUCUUAUGUUUAGUUUGGCUUGGCAACAUAAUCAGGAAAACAAGAAAAUUGCAACUCUUAGGUAUUCAGACAUGUUGUGGACAUUGAAGCUCAGGAGCCGUGGAUGUGGACGCGGGGCUUUUUUUUUCUGCUGGUUGGCCCACAUUUGCUAGAGAAGCUUAUCUGCAUGUAGGAGAUGUUGUGUGUUUGAGCUCAUUAAUAGGGAGGAUGUGUGUUCAAAGUCUACAUUUCCACUAGAGCUGAGUGUUCCUUGUGAAUUCAUAAAGAAGUACAUUCAGAAGAACCAGCAAAUUGCUACUCUUAGGUAUUUGAACAAAUCACGGCUGGUGCAGGUCAAGACCUAUCAACACCAUUAUCCAGCAAACAACUCUGUGGUUGCCUCAUGUUGGUGAGAGAAGCUUAUCUGGAUGAAGGGGAUGUCUGCAUGUUUGAGCUCUCAUUGAUAUGGAUGAUUUUCUGGUCAAAAUCUCCAUCGCCAAUUAUGCUUGUAAGGACCUCAUUUAGGUCGAUUGAGGUGAACAUUGGAAGCUUCACUUGAGGCUGUAGAUUAGUGAAGCAAUUUCUGCCUCAUUUAUUCAGUUGCAACAAA